GAUGAAGAACGUAGCGAAAUGCGAUAAGUAGUGUGAAUUGCAGAAUUCAGUGAAUCAUCGAAUCUUUGAACGCACAUUGCGCCCCAUGGUAUUCCGUGGAGCAUGCCUGUUCGAGCGUCAUUUACCCCCUCAAGCUCCGCUUGGUGUUGGGCGUCUGUCCCGCUUCGCGCGCGGACUCGCCCCAAAGGUAUUGGCAGCGGUCGUGCCAGCUUCUCGCGCAGCACAUUGCGCUUCUCGAGGCACCGGUGGGCCCGCGUCCAUCAAGCUCACCCCCCCAGUUUGACCUCGGAUCAGGUAGGGAUACCCGCUGAACUUAAGCAUAUCAAUAAGCGGAGGA
rnacentral:misc_RNA from 1 species